rnacentral:lncRNA from 1 species
GCAAAUGGGAACCCAAAUUAAGGACUCGGAGAAAGGGGAACACAAUCUAGGCCCCUCCCAGUGCUGUUCCAGGACAACUUCAUCCCCAUGGGCCAGGUGUGAAACCCACCUGAAAACAGUUCUCUGAUCAUUUUACAAAAUGAGGGGUCCGUUACCAAUUCAUUACCCAUUUGGGACACAUUACGGGUUGUAUUGUGGGACUGCAGAAGGCUUAUUACAUGAUGUUUAGAGGAGGAACCAAAGUCUUUAAAAAGGAUGGGUAGCAGAAAGGUAGACAGAGAGAAGCAACUGGAGUUAGACCAUGAGUCAGAAGUCCCUUGUCAGCAACUGUAGAGUGUGUAGUGUCUGCAAUUUGGACAUAUACUGAGAUCAGUAUCAAAACAGAAAGCAAAUUAGUGUAAUAUAGAUGUGAUGUAACAUCUGAAAGGCCAAGAUAAGAGGAAGAGAAAAAGAAAAAGAAGAGGAAGAAGAAGAAAAGGAAAAGAAGGUAAAGGAGAAGGAGAAAAAUGUUGUGAGUUUCCUAUAAAUGUUUAAAUGUUUUCUGCAUUUGUAUAGCUAUUGCCAUUACACAAAACAUAAAAUAAAUAGGACACUUUUUUUUUUUUUUUUUUUUUUUUUUUUUUUCCCUUCUCCAAGCAUCUCAGGCUAAUCUUUGACCAUGUGUCAUAGUAAUGACUAUGACACAUGCACCAUGUCUUCUUCUAUACACACCUGGACUGCCAUUGCUGCUGUUGGCUCUCACAAGUUUUCUGUUGCAUCAUUCAGCUACCAAAUCCAUUCAGUGGUAGACGAAGACUUCCUCAGACAAAGCUUGUCACUGUACUAUAUUAUAUAAGAUUUUUUGUUUGUUUGAUUUGCACAGACACUGUAUGUUGACAUUUGUACAAAAUUUGCAAACACAAUUUAGUUUAGCUUAUUAAAAAGAAUAGUACUUCCAGGAGGUAUAUUUGUGCUGGAAGAUUUAAUUUGCAAAGUUUAAUAAGACUUAAUGACUCUGUUCACAGCAUUUAUAUUUUUAUCACUGUUCUUUAGCAACAACUCUUGAUAAAAUUUGGAUGGAGAUUCAUCCAAUAGUCCCCCAGUAAAGCAAAACAGAACACAACACUCCUAGAUCAGUGUCUCAAGUUAAAUUCAGUGACUGGUCACAUGGAUUUUAGUUUAGAUCAUAAAUAUACCACAUGGCUAAAUCAGUGCAAUAUUCUGCUUGAACAGCUAAGCUGACUAUUUCAUUUUAACCUUGGUAAGGAGAUUGAAUGAGUAGAUAAACUUG